GAACCGUGCGAACGUUGUUCGGAAUCACUGGGCUUAAAGGGCGCGUAGGCGGGUCAUCAAGUCCGGGGUGAAAGCCCCCAGCUCAACUGGGGAAGUGCCUCGGAUACUGGUGGUCUUGAGCGAGGUAGGGGCAGCUGGAACUUCCGGUGGAGCGGUGAAAUGCGUUGAUAUCGGAAGGAACGCCGGUGGCGAAAGCGAGCUGCUGGACCUCUUCUGACGCUGAGGCGCGAAAGCCAGGGGAGCAAACGGGAUUAGAUACCCCGGUAGUCCUGGCCCUAAACGAUGGGUACUAGAUUGUGGACUUAACAUGGGUUCACAGUCGAAGCAAAAGUGAUAAGUACCCCGCCUGGGGAGUAUGGUCGCAAGGCUGAA
rnacentral:rRNA from 1 species